rnacentral:tRNA from 1 species
GACGGAAUAGUUUAAGUAAAACGACAGGUUGUGGUUCUGUAGAUGGUUAGUUGUGCUUUUCGUUG